CCUUUGUACACACCGCCCGUCGCUACUACCGAUUGAAUGGCUCGGUGAGGCCUUCGGACUGGCUCAGGAGGGUUGGUAACGACCCCCCCGAGCCGGAAAGUUGGUCAAACCCGGUCAUUUAGAGG
rnacentral:rRNA from 1 species